rnacentral:lncRNA from 1 species
UACAGUAGAGAUAAUAGAGAAAAGGUUGGAGUGAAAGAGAUGAAAGAGAAAGGGUUGAGUGGAAUGAGAGAGCUGGAUAAGGGUUUGGUUUUUUUUUUUGUUUUUUGUUUUUUUUAAUUUUGAGAAUGAAAAUUAUUAAAAUACCCUUAAACUUAAAACUUAGAAUUCAUGAUACAUAAGGGUAUUUUUCUCUACUGAAACCCGAUACACAUUGCUAAAAUGUACCAAUUGAGAAACAAGCAUACGCAAGUUAGAAAACCCCGGUACAUAUUGCUG